AUUGAACGCUGGCGGCAGGCCUAACACAUGCAAGUCGAACGGUAACAGGAAACAGCUUGCUGUUUCGCUGACGAGUGGCGGACGGGUGAGUAAUGUCUGGGAAACUGCCUGAUGGAGGGGGAUAACUACUGGAAACGGUAGCUAAUACCGCAUAACGUCGCAAGACCAAAGAGGGGGACCUUCGGGCCUCUUGCCAUCGGAUGUGCCCAGAUGGGAUUAGCUAGUAGGUGGGGUAACGGCUCACCUAGGCGACGAUCCCUAGCUGGUCUGAGAGGAUGACCAGCCACACUGGAACUGAGACACGGUCCAGACUCCUACGGGAGGCAGCAGUGGGGAAUAUUGCACAAUGGGCGCAAGCCUGAUGCAGCCAUGCCGCGUGUAUGAAGAAGGCCUUCGGGUUGUAAAGUACUUUCAGCGGGGAUGAAGGGAGUAAAGUUAAUACCUUUGCUCAUUGACGUUACCCGCAGAAGAAGCACCGGCUAACUCCGUGC
rnacentral:rRNA from 1 species